rnacentral:rRNA from 1 species
AUACGUAGGGCGCAAGCGUUGUCCGGAAUUAUUGGGCGUAAAGAGCUUGUAGGUGGCUUGUCGCGUCUGCCGUGAAAACCCGAGGCUCAACCUCGGGUGUGCGGUGUGUACGGGCAGGCUAGAGUGUGGUAGGGGAGACUGGAACUCCUGGUGUAGCGGUGAAAUGCGCAGAUAUCAGGAAGAACACCGAUGGCGAAGGCAGGUCUCUGGGCCAUUACUGACACUGAGAAGCGAAAGCAUGGGUAGCGAACAGGAUUAGAUACCCUGGUAGUCCAUGCCGUAAACGUUGGGCACUAGGUGUGGGGGACAUUCCACGUUUUCCGCGCCGUAGCUAACGCAUUAAGUGCCCCGCCUGGGGAGUACGGCCGCAAGGCUAAA